rnacentral:rRNA from 1 species
UACGAAGGGGGCUAGCGUUGCUCGGAAUCACUGGGCGUAAAGGGUGCGUAGGCGGGUCUUUAAGUCAGGGGUGAAAUCCUGGAGCUCAACUCUAGAACUGCCUUUGAUACUGGGGACCUUGAGUCCGGGAGAGGUGAGUGGAAUUGCGAGUGUAGAGGUGAAAUUCGUAGAUAUUCGCAAGAACACCAGUGGCGAAGGCGGCUCACUGGCCCGGAACUGACGCUGAGACGCGAAAGCGUGGGGAGCAAACAGG